ACCCCCCGUAGUCCCAAGCGUGGGUUUGAUUCGGUUACACGGGCAACCCUUUUGCGGUUACCUCCCAAUCAAGCGCUAAUAAUAACGCUUCGAAAUCAGAAGCCCAAACUUGACGUUGUCGGGCUUGGCACUUGCGGCGGCUUACAGCGACAUCCUGUGGCCAUCUUCAUCAUUGCAACGUGAUCCUGCGAGGGUUCGAAUGACGAGCAGGCUUCGCAUUGGGUGGCGCUCGCACUCGCUGCAGGGGCGGGGAAAGAGUUGCUGAACAUCUUCUGUGUCAGACAACAAUUCUGCUUUGUUGGACACUCGUCGAGCGUCGGAAGGCCCAGAUGAUGCUGAUGCUGAUGCUGAUGCUGAUGCUGAUGAAGAUGGAGACUUUCUAACAGAAUCGAGACGAGCUGGCGUGUGCGAUGAAGGACCGACUGGUCGAGCUGACUGCCAGGAGAACAUGGGCGGAGGAAGAUCAGGUGGCGGCGUCGGCGGAGCGAGAAGGUUUGAUGGAGGGCUUCUUCAGGAGGGCGGAGGAGGUUCGAGGACUGCUCGAUCGCAUCGGCUUGCAAGUGCGAGACGUGAAGGAGACGCACAGCGCGAUCUUGUGCGCGCCUCACCCGGAUGCCAAAACAAAAGCUCGUCUGAACGCCCUGACCGAUGACAUCAAAGGCAACGCCGACGUGGCGCGAACCAAACUCAAAUGUGAGUCCAAUUACGAACGCGCCGUCGUCCCGCGCCGUCACUUACGUGUUUGGGCCUACCGCGCCGCAGCCAUGGAGCGAAACAUGCCCGAAGACGACGCGGCGAACAGAUCCUCUGUCGACCUCAGGAUCCAGAAAACACAGCACUCGGUGCUGUCCAGGAAGUUUGCGGAGGUCAUGACCCAGUACAAUGAGGCGCAAGUUUCCUUUCGGGAGCGAAGCAAAGGACGGAUCCAAAGACAGCUGGAAAUAACGGGACGAGUGACCACCAACGAAGAACUGGAAGACAUGCUCGAGAGUGGAAUUCCAUCCAUCUUCACAUCUGACAUCAUUUCGGACUCUAAGAUCACACGUCAGGUCGUGGAUGAGAUCGAGUCCCGCCAUCAGGACAUCAUACGACUGGAGUCCAGCAUUCGAGAGCUGCGUGCCAUGUUCGCGGACAUGGCAACGCUGGUGGAAACUCAGGGCCAAAUGGUCAACAACAUCGAGAAGCACGUAUCCAAUGCAGCUGAAUACAUUUGCCGGGCUAAAGAAGAAACCAAAAAAGCAGUAAGAUACCAGAAGAAAUCCAGGCGGAAAUGUAUCACGCUGGCCUUUGCCGUGCUGAUCCUGCUCGCUGUCAUCGCUUUGAUUGUCGGCUUGUCUGUCGGACUAACCAAACCUCUCGCCUGACGCGGCGAUGACAGCGUGAGAGGCCGCUCUCUGCCUUGCUGUGCGUGGAAUUGCGAGUGUCCUCAUUUUACUCAUUGCACGAGUUGGCGUAUUCGGGUGGCGGAUCGAAUGGGUCCCGACCUCGCAGGAAUCUCCUGCUCCUGUAGUCACGGAGUUUACAAUAGCGCCAUCUCAUCGGCCGUGUAACAGCAUCGCAGGACGAAACACAAUCAAGUAUGACAAGUUGUCUUCUUUUCGUCCACAAAACCUCGCUGGCCACAACGUGAGCUGCAACUGAGAUUCAAAUAGAAAACUGUCAUUUGAUUACAAAAUGUUUGUUGGGUGUCGUCACAGAGCGGAGACAUAUUCAUUGCAUCCGACGUGAUUCAGCUCUUCCGAUGGAUUAGAUGGUGCGAGCGCACCUAAUGUUGCGGCUCUCUGCGAUGAAAUCACUGCUCACCUGCUUUCAGGUAUUUUGGAACACUGUGAUAUAGUAGGUUCGUCUCAAAGAAGUCUGUUAGGCGUUUCUUAUUUUGUGGUAAUGUUAUAGUUUGGACCUGUGGAACGUGGCCUCUUGACUAACAGCCACUGAAUGUAGCAUGAAGACAAAACCACAGCAACAGCAACAAAUGAGCUUUAUGUGGCCUGACUGCUGUCGCGCUGCAGCGCCGCCCUGCUGGCAGACCAACAGGAAAGCCGGGCCAGCCCAAAUCGUUCAUAUGCUCACGGGAUCUUGUUUUUUUUUUUUUUUUCCCCCUUUGGAAUUGGAAGUCACGCAAAGUGCUAUUAUAGCGCAGGAUGUUGUUUGUUUGCGACAGGCCGGAAUGUUGCUUAGGUGUCCUAUUUCCCACUUGCGAGUGAGCGUUAUUCACAUGGAAUACAGCGCAUAUUUGAACAGAAACAUUAGAAAUUGGGCCUUCUCUGUACCUGAUUAAAGCGUUUCUUUCAUUGUGACUGUGAUGCGGGAAAGCUGCGUGUGAAAAUAUCGUUUGGGUGUCAUUGUAAGGGCACAUUUGACUCUCCUGUAAUCAAUUGUAUUGUUUGAAUGUCAUGAAUUACAUUUUAUAUCAGAGUUGUGUGAAAUGUAUCAAUGAAAAGCAAAUAAAAUAACACUUUACUAACUU